GCCUCAUUUUCUAUCAAAUUUGGUUCAGAAAUGAAAGGGUUACUGUCCUAAAACCCAUGAAAAUAGAAAAUAGUUAUCCAAUCAGAUUUUUCAAAAAGGUGCGCUCACUGUCCCCACCCGAUCCUCCCGCGGUAAGAACUCAACAGAACUUCGUAUUUAGCAUACUAAUUAAACAUACCCAAAGUCCCCCGGCCGGAAGUUGAAAAAAUUGGAAGAAGUGAAGGAGAAGAAGUCGCUCGACUGUCUGCAAAGGAGUUCAGAUGAUGAUAUGCACAACUUGGGAUACUUUCGUUAAAGCUUUUGAUCAGCGGAUACGGACUAAACAUAGGAGGAAUGGACAGACAAUCGGACCGCUUCAAAGUUCAGGAGUUGUCCGGGUACUUUGCAUGAACUAUAAACUGGUCGCCAGUGAACAGCAUGAACCUGCCGGGUUGAUCAUUUUCUCCACCCUCCGGCCUCCUGACUCAUCUCCACUGUGUCUCCCUGUGGCAUCCACGGUCUGUCUGUUGCUGUGAGGUUUGGCACGUCUGGACCCAUGAAAGAGAGGCAGCUAUGCCCCCUCCUCCCCCUCCAGUGUCCAUGAGCUGCCCGUGACUCAGUAGGUGUUGAAACAACUUUAAAGUUACGUCAUUAAAGUUACGUCACUCGCUUUUCCUCAAACUGUUGUGCCUUCCAAAUAAAUGAAUGUAAAA